UGGGGAAUAUUGCACAAUGGGGGAAACCCUGAUGCAGCGACGCCGCGUGAACGAAGAAGGUAUUCGUAUCGUAAAGUUCUGUCCUAGGGGAAGAUAAUGACAGUACAAUAGAAGAAAGCUCCGGCUAAAUACGUGCAAGCAGCCGCGGUAAUACGUAUGGAGCGAGCGUUGUCCGGAAUUAUUGGGCGUAAAGGGUACGCAGGCGGUUUAAUAAGUCGAAUGUUAAAGAUCGGGGCUCAACCCCGUAAAGCAUUGGUAACUGAUAAACUUGAGUAGUGGAGAGGAAAGUGGAAUUCCUAGUGUAGUGGUGAAAUACGUAGAUAUUAGGGGGAAUACCAGUAGCGAAGGCGACUUUCUGGACACAAACUGACGCUGUGGUACGAAAGCGUGGGGGGCAAACAGG
rnacentral:rRNA from 1 species